rnacentral:lncRNA from 1 species
GGAGUCCGCGCUGUGAGGUGCGCGGCCGAGCCCUGCACUGCGCCCGCGGCCGGAGCUAAGGGAGCCGGGGCUGGGAGAGCCGGGGCGGGCCGCGUCGCCUGUCCCCAGUCCCGGUCUCUCUUCCCCGCUGCCCGGUCCCGCCACCCCACGCCCGUCCCGGUCACCAAGCCGGGCCCUGUCGCCGCGCGAGCCCCGGUUCCGGCAGCUCACCCUGCGGGCGGCCGUCCGGUCCCGGGGCCGCCCGGUUCCCCCCCGUCCCCUUCUAUGCCCGAGGCCGCCCCGUCCCCAACUGUCCCCUUCUACGCCGGGGGCUUCCCGGUCGCCAACUGUCCCCUUCUAUGCCCGGGGCCGCCCCGUCCCCAACUGUCCUCUUCUGCGCCGCUCUGUUUCCCUACAUCCCCCUAGUCAUCCUCUGUUCUCUAACCUUGGGGUACCCCUCUCUGUCCUCCUCCACCUCCGGGUCCCUCUCUGUCCCCCUCCAUCCCUGAGCCCGUCUCCGUCCCCCUCCAGUCCUAGGGUCCCCUCUGUCCUCCGGGCCACCAGAGUGGGGGAGGGGAGCACGCAGGCUCCCCUUGGAAUUGGGAGAAACGUGUUUAUCUUGUAGAGGGCGAUCUUAGCCCUCACCAAGGUUAACAGCUAGGUUUUCCCAUGAACGUGUAAACAAUUUAGGUGCAAGCCGACAUUUAGUGUGUGUGUUUUUUUCCAUAUAAAUUAUCUCCUAAAAUAUACCGUAAUGUUCAUUUUUAAGAAAAAUGUCGAGACUCGAACCAGAGCAUUUUAAAAUCCAAAAUGGAAAACUGAAUUGUAACUGUAUUAUAGUUUUUGUUUCAAAAUAGUUUAAUGAACAUUAAACAUUUUGAAAGAAUGGACUAUGUAAAAAAAAAUUAGAGGGUUUUGUAUGUUAAGUUUUAGAGGGUCCGGCAGAAGCAUGUGGCUGUAAGACUAGGUGGGGACCUUAGUGAGUCUGGAGUGGAGAAAGGAGGUUUGUCUUGUACCUGCGGUAUGUGGGCGGUGAAGGUUAUGCAGAGUGAAUUGACAGUGUUCUUGGCUCGUGUUCAUCACAUUUACCCCAGCAACUGAGAGCCAGGACCAGCCCUUCUUGGGGACCUGCACCUUAACUCUGUUUCCAGGAAUGCAAAUGGCUUUGUUUUGAACCAUCCACAGAUUUGCCCAAGCGCCCAUUGACCGGGGCCCAGUGACUGGCAGCCGAGAGCAUCUGGGCAGCCGUUGUGUUGGGGGCAGGGUUCUCUCAGUAAUUAGCGCUUGUGACCUUGGCCCCGCUAGUUCCUAAGUAAGCAGGAGUGUGGAGCAAGUCCCCCGCUGAGGGCCAGGCACGCUGGAUCAGGGGGAGCCCGAGAUGAAGGGGGAAGGCUCUGUCUGGGCCAGGGAGGACAGGACGGCUGUCUUUGCAAGGCGUGUGGGCGUCCUGGUGAGGGUGUCCCAUUUUAUCUUUGGGACAAUUAAUUAUUGUCUUAAUGUUUUUUAAUAAAUCCACAUUCCUAUAGAACUUAAAUUCAUCCUUGUCUCUUAACAUGCUUUGCCCGGCACUAUGAAGAUUAUAUAGUUUAUUUUUACAAGAGGGAACCUGAUUAGUCAUAAUGCAGAUACAGUACAAUGGCCAUUGUCAUUUUCAGAAAAAAAAAAGAUUUGAAAACAGGGUACAUAUGAACACUAAAUUUCAAAUAGAAUAGAUCCUAUGGCAUCCUGCUGCGCUCAUUGACCAUUGAACACACAUUACUCACACCCUAUGAAUGGCCAGGUAUUGGUACACAGAAAUUUACAAAACAGGCACAAAUCCCUAUUACGGUGUGGGAGAGGUGGGCUGCCAGGAGUAUGUAGAUGUUUGAAAACAAAAGUCCUUAUUACGAGUAAGCAUGUAACCAGUUGGUGAAAAAAUAUCAUUUUCUUUGAUGUGACAAAGAAUAUGCAUCGCAUCUGAACACUAAUAGUUGCGCCUGAUUUUUUUAAGAAGAGCAACAAAGAAUCGUAGAGGGCCAGAUUAAUUCAGAAGGGGGAAGUAUGGCAGGAUAUAAAAAGAUGAUGGAUUUUACACUUUAGUUGUCCAUGCUGUGCGCAUGGCCCUGGUCACGUUAUUUAAAUAGGAGAUUAAAAUGACUAUUAGAAUGAGUUUAGUAUAAUCAGAAGAGUUAAUGGAUUAAAAUUCCUGCUUGGUAGCAAAUAGUAGUGAUUCAAUAAAUUGAAGGCAGUGUUCACUUAUUCACCAUUUAGCCAUUUGUAAGUUUGCUCUUGGUAAUUAUUUUAUAAUCCCCCACCCUUCUUUUAACAUAUGAGUGAAUGCAGACAGAAAAAUGAAGUCAACUUUGCAGGCCACAAAGCAAAUCAGAGACAAGAGUUGGACCUCGACUUGUCCAAUAAUCCCACAGGUGCUUCCUUCUCCUGCCGGUCGCUGAAGAGCCCUGCUCUGUUUUCACUCUCGCAGUCUUGGAGAGAAAAUAAUCAGCUCCAUUUGUUGGACGUGACCCUUGUUCUCUGCUCACCUUGAGCCACUCCUGUCUCUGCCACUAUCUUCAAAAGGUCAAGAUCCCUUCUGGGUGACAGUCGUAGGCUCCUUUCGACGUUCCUGGGGGCCACUUCACCCCCCUGGCACCCCGCUGUUACUUCCUCAGUCCCCACUUAGGCCUCCAUGCCCUCCUCCACUGUUUUUCUUCUCCUCUUAGACCUCCAGGCUGUGCUCAUUUAUUUCAUACCAGGAAGCUCUCUUUGUUGCCUCUCAAAAAUAAAAGUAUACAUUUGAAACCUAAUUUUAAAUUUAAUUUAAAGAUUAAUGGGAUAACAUGUUGGUAUUGAGUACAUUUGAUCUUCCUGUUCUAGAUCAUUCAAGACGGGCUCUUGGGGGAAGUCUUACAAAUCUGUUCUGAGGAUAAUUCCAAUAAUGCCCCCUAAUUAUAUUGACAGAGAAUGCUCCAAUUUUGGGGCAAGAAGCCAAUUUUGUUGUUCUGUUUUGUUUUGGUUUUGGUGUCUGUACCAAUAUAUUGCCUGUUUUGGAGCAAACUACCCUUUUAUUUCAUCUGUUUAUUUUGGGUGUGCAAAAUAUAAUUGUUAAGAAAGUACUUCUGAAUAUUUACAUGAUAGAGCCUAUGUAAGUGUAAAAUGUUCCUUUUUUUUUGAGAUGGAGUCUCCCUCUGUUGCCCAGGCUAGAGUGUAGUGGCACAAUCUUGGCUCACUGCAACGUCUGCCUCCUGGGUUCAAGCAAUUCUCCUUCCUCAGCCUCCCAAGUAGCUGGGAUUCCAGGAAUGCACCACCACGCCUGGCUAAUUUUUGUGUUUUUAGUGGAGAUGGGGUUUUACCAUGUUGGCCAUGCUGUUCUUGAACUCCUGACCUCAAGUGAUCGGCUGCCUCUGCCUCUCAAAUUGCUUGAUUACAGGCAUGAGCCACUGCGCCUGGCCCUGUGAUGUUCAUUUCUCAAUUAUCUCAUUUGCAGAUAGUUCUAUCUAAAUAGUGAGUUGCCUUUUCUCUCCCUAGCGUUUUUACAUAACAUGUAAGGUGUAGUAGAUUCACUUUUUAACCAUUUUUGCUUAGAAUAAUGAAGGAAAAUGCCCUAUUGAUAGUUUUCAAAAGAUGUUGAAUUUUACUGUCAACAUAGGCAAGGUAAUAAGUACAAUGACAGGAUACCUCUGGGGCAUUGGUCGGGGAGAACUUCUGUCUAUCUAAGACCUUUGUUUUAGUAGCCCUCUUUUAAAAUAUAAUUGUAAAAUGGGACAGCUGUAAAGCUCAGUUCA